rnacentral:rRNA from 1 species
GACAGAGGGGGUAAGCGUUGCUCGGAAUUACUGGGCGUAAAGGGCGCGUAGGCGGGAUGGCAAGUCGGGGGUGAAAGCCCGAGGCUCAACCUCGGAACUGCCUUCGAUACUGCGGGUCUCGAGUCCGGGAGAGGUGAGUGGAAUUCCUAGUGUAGAGGUGAAAUUCGUAGAUAUUAGGAAGAACACCAGUGGCGAAGGCGGCUCACUGGCCCGGUACUGACGCUGAGGCGCGAAAGCGUGGGGAGCAAACAGG